rnacentral:lncRNA from 1 species
UUCAAAAAGGAGGAAUAUCAAUUUUUCUGGAUCAAGUUGACCGUGUCCCCACACAUGAGUAAUUUCAUGUGAAUUUCUAAUAUGAAGAAAAAGGCCAGGCUCACCAUUUUAAUUGAAGUAUUUGAGUGCAAUGCACGGUGUCCUGGGCCAUAUUUGAGUGAUCGUGUGAUGGUUAUGAGAAAUCGUCUCGGGCUAUUGAGUUGGACGUUAUCCUUAUUUGGGAUACCCCCUGGACAACGGGAAGCCGGUCGCAGUUGAUUCUGGACCCUAUGCUCAUUCGGGAAAGCCGUCUGAUAAAGAGACGUGCCGUGCUCAAUGGGGUGAGACGAUGCCUGGCAAUGCCAGAAGACCGCCGAACUGAGAGUAGGCCGUGCUAUAUGCCGAGAUCAAAACUAAGAACGCAUGAUUAAUUGAGUGUGGCGUUUCAGUUAUUGGAGCUUAUUUGUUGCUCAUGCUCUCAUGUUGUCUUUGAGAUAAAUUGUACUGACCUGCAGGGUGGGUCUGAGACGAGGUAAGUCUCCUUGAUUGUGUGAUUGCGUGCUUAGGAC